rnacentral:miRNA from 1 species
CGGUACUUUGUGGAAUGCAUGAG